UUUAUGGAGAGUUUGAUCCUGGCUCAGGACGAACGCUGGCGGCGUGCCUAAUACAUGCAAGUCGAGCGGAGCAGUUUGAAAGCUUGCUUUCAAACUGCUUAGCGGCGGACGGGUGAGUAAC
rnacentral:rRNA from 1 species